AAUUUUGGACAAUGGGGGCAACCAUGAUCCAGCCAUCCCGCGUGUGCGAUGAAGGCCUUCGGGUUGUAAUGCACUUUUGUCAGGGAAGAAAAGCGACCGGUUAAUACCUGGUGGUGCUGACGGGACCUGCAGCAUAAGCACCGGCUAACUCUGUGCCAGCAGCCUCGGUAAUACGUAGGGUGCAAGCGUUAGUUGGAAUUAUUGGGCUUAAGGCGUGCGCAGGCGGUUCGGCAAGAAGGAUGUGAAAUCCCGGGGCUUAACCUCGGAACUGCAUUAUUAACUGACGGGCUAGAGUAUGUCAGAGGGGGGUAGAAUUCCACGUGUAGCAGUGAAAUGCGUAGAGAUGUGGAGGAAUACCGACGGCGAAGGCAGCCCCCUGGGAUGAUACCGACGCUCAUGCACGAAAGCGUGGGGAGCAAACA
rnacentral:rRNA from 1 species